rnacentral:rRNA from 1 species
GCAGUGUACCCGCGGCAAGACGGAAAGACCCCGUGAACCUUUACUAUAGCUUGACACUGAACAUUGAGCCUUGAUGUGUAGGAUAGGUGGGAGGCUUUGAAGUGUGGACGCCAGUCUGCAUGGAGCCGACCUUGAAAUACCACCCUUUAAUGUUUGAUGUUCUAACGUGGACCCGUGAUCCGGGUUGCGGACAGUGUCUGGUGGGUAGUUUGACUGGGGCGGUCUCCUCCUAAAGAGUAACGGAGGAGCACGAAGGUUGGCUAAUCCUGGUCGGACAUCAGGAGGUUAGUGCAAUGGCAUAAGCCAGCUUGACUGCGAGCGUGACGGCGCGAGCAGGUGCGAAAGCAGGUCAUAGUGAUCCGGUGGUUCUGAAUGGAAGGGCCAUCGCUCAACGGAUAAAAGGUACUCCGGGGAUAACAGGCUGAUACCGCCCAAGAGUUCAUAUCGACGGCGGUGUUUGGCACCUCGAUGUCGGCUCAUCACAUCCUGGGGCUGAAGUAGGUCCCAAGGGUAUGGCUGUUCGCCAUUUAAAGUGGUACGCGAGCUGGGUUUAGAACGUCGUGAGACAGUUCGGUCCCUAUCUGCCGUGGGCGCUGGAGAACUGAGGGGGGCUGCUCCUAGUACGAGAGGACCGGAGUGGACGCAUCACUGGUGUUCGGGUUGUCAUGCCAAUGGCACUGCCCGGUAGCUAAAUGCGGAAGAGAUAAGUGCUGAAAGCAUCUAAGCACGAAACUUGCCCCGAGA